rnacentral:rRNA from 1 species
GUGAGGAAUAUUGGACAAUGGGCGCAAGCCUGAUCCAGCCAUGCCGCGUGCAGGAAGACGCAUCUAUGGUGUGUAAACUGCUUUUGUACGGGAAGAAACACUCCCUCGUGAGGGAGCUUGACGGUACCGUAAGAAUAAGGAUCGGCUAACUCCGUGCCAGCAGCCGCGAUAAUACGGAGGAUCCAAGCGUUAUCCGGAACCAUUGGGUUUAAAGGGUCCGUAGGCGGUUUAAUAAGUCAGUGGUGAAAGCCCAUCGCUCAACGAUGGAACGGCCAUUGAUACUGUUAGACUUGAAUUACAAGGAAGUAACUAGAAUAUGUAGUGUAGCGGUGAAAUGCUUAGAUAUUACAUGGAAUACCAAUUGCGAAGGCAGGUUACUACUUGUGGAUUGACGCUGAUGGACGAAAGCGUGGGGAGCGAACAGGAUUAGAAACCCCGGUAGUCC